AAGCGGCUGAGCGGCGAGGAUACACGCAGCUGAGUGUCAGAGACAAUGGAUAGAUGCGGCUAACUUCAGACGGUGCGGCUUCAGAGAGGGACCUGGCCGGAGACUGCCGGGCUUCAGAGAAAGCUCACGUUCCCAUCUGCUUUCCAGCCUCCCUUUCCGCUGAGAGCCACCCACCGCUCAAUGAAGUCUUCCGCAUUCAUCACCUUUCAAACGGAAAUAAAACUUUAACCAAAAGAGCAUGGGCAGAUAUUUCCCGGAUCUGAACAGGAAUAGCUGGUGUCUGGACUCUAUGAAGAAUCUUCAUGUGCAGUGAUAGAAGAAUAAACACAUUUGCAGACUUUUGUAGUGCACAGUGACCGGUGACCAGCAGCAUGUGUUUCCAUAGGCAUCUUCUCUCAGUACCCCAGAAGGUGAAUUGCCAGUGAGUCCUGCCAGGAUGCCCCUCGGUGACUGCACCACCCAGUAAAAAGACAUCCCUUAACUAUGGCAAAACAACAACAACAACGACGACAAAAAACAAAACAAAACAAAACAAAACCCUGCAUCAAUUUGAUAAAUAAUCCUCCCCGUUGAUGUCACUGGUUUUUUUCUGCACAUCUUCUCACUGAUAUUUAAAUGCUGAGCUUACACUUUCCAUGGACAUGCUUAAUGACUAAACAAUAGUUGAAUUCUAAAUUAAUCAACUGACCAACCAGUAAGAAUUUAUUGAGCAACUCCUUUGAAGCCGUCUAUCUGUUAGGUGCUGUGGGAGCACAAAAGAAAUAGGACAUCAUCUCUGCCUCAGGGAAUUUAGUGUUUUGGGGAAAACCUGAGUGGUAUACACAAAGCAAUUGAGGAACAACCUAGGACCUUGUAGUCCAUUAGGAUUUCCAAAAAUAGAAAGAGAAUGGAAAGUCACCUGGCUAGGAGAAGCCAGUGGAAACUUGACACGAAGAAAAAAGAGCAGCUAAUUUCAUUCCUGUCCACCAGUUAUUUAUGUGUUUAUCUUUAAUUACAUUUGUUUGAUUUCCCUUAUUAAAGUCUGAUGUCUUAAAAAAGCAGAAAAGUGAGGCAGGUCAGCAGGGGAUGUAAGUUGGGAAGAAAGACAGGUGAGGGCAAGAAUUUAGGCAGGAGCCACAGUGUUGGUUGUGCAGGUGAAGGUCAGGUGACGGAGGGUAACCAGUCAUGGAUGACCCAGGCAGGAGCCAUAACCAAAAUGUUAGAAAAAGUUGGUAAGAAAUUGUUCCAGGCCAGGCGCAGUGGCUCAUGCUUGUAAUUCCAGCACUUUGGGAGGCCAAGGUAGGCGGAUCACUUGAGGUCAGGAGUUUGAAACCAGCCUGGCCAACAUGGAGAUACCCUGUCUCUACUAAAAAUACAAAAACUAUCUGGGCAUGGUGGCACGUGCCUGUAAUCCCAGCUACUCAGGAGGCUGAGGCAGGAGAAUCACUUCAACCCAGGAGACAGAGAUUGCAGUGAGCCGAGAUUGCGCCACUGCACUCCAGCCUGGGUGACAGAGUGAGACACCAUCUCAAAAAAAAAAAAAAAAAAAAGUUUUCCAGGAACAAGGGCAGAACUUAGCUACUGAGUUCUACCGAAGGCCAGGAUCUGAGUCAAGCACCAAGGUUAACUCCCAGGGAAGCCAAAUGUUCAUAAAAGGAAAUCUUUCCAAAUCACAAAUAUCAGGGCCUGCUAGGUAAAUUCUAGCUUCUCUGUGCCAAGGGCUGUGUUCCUACUCUCAAGCGCCACUCACUGACUGUCUGGGUGGUGCUGUGGGCUUCUGUACUUUUAGCUUCAUCAGCUGCACCUGUCCUCUUUUCCCAUAAGACGCCAGGACCCUCAGAAUCUUCCCUCUUACCAGAAAUUUGGGUUUUGGGCUGGGUCCCUGGACCGAAUUCUGACACUCUAAGUGUUUGCAGACUAUUUUGAUAGAGGUAGUGAUUAUGAUGCCAGAAAAGUGAAGCCAGUUUUUAUUAGAAUGUUGGCCAUCUUGAAUAAUCCAUUCCCCCACUUCCAUGGGACAUCUUCAAAGAGAUUUUUAAAAGACAAAUAUGAUCUCUACUAAUGAGAUAUCUUCAGAAGGUAGAAUUAAAGCAAAAUUAAUGUACACAGAAUUCCUAUUUCAAUAUAUUUAUUAUUCACAACAUUUCUACACACACACACACACACACACACACGCAUACACACACACACACACACAUUCCUGCACAGGUAAUUUAUAGUGGCUAAUCCACUCAGUACUGUGGACUUUGGUUUUAGAGAGCAUUGUUUUCAAGGGUAGUACAGAUAAUCUGCCUCCAACAUAUUCUAUUCUUAGGGCUCUAAAGUCAAAGGAGUUUGUACAGACCCCUCCCUGCUAAGGUAAUUAUGUCCUCUUCAUAUCUUGCAUGAAUGUUUGCUCUUAGAGUGAUGAUCUGAAAUAUCAACAUCCUGCAGGACCUAGUCUGGUCUGGAAGAAGAAGAGAUAUGUCAUCUCUAUGGGCUUUGAUCUUGGUAGGCAUAUUUAUUCACCAGGUACACAAAUGCAACUUUAAACCCUCAGCCACAUUUAGUAAACUAUUUCUUCAUCUGUUGCAGUCUUAUUCUGAUGGGAAAAAUUUCCUCUGUUUUUCAAGUUUAAUUUAUUAUUUUUUCAAAUUACAAGAGCAAUGCAUAUUAUUGUAACCAGAGAGAUAAUGCCAAGAUCGGUAGAGAAAAACUUAAUAAUCUCGACCUCCUAUAACCAUCUCUCUUCCCAUCCCCCUGAGGUAAUAGCAAAUGUUAACAGCCUGCUACCUCUGCACAUCUUCCUUCCUUCAUGAUUUCCCUACACACACACCCAUACACACACGUGCGCAUGCACACACACACCCACUCAAACACACGGUGUACGUCCAGGAGUCAGAAGUGGCUACAGAGAUGGAGUCUUCAUUAUUAAGGUGAGAAAAUGAUAAGACAAAUCACCCUUCUAUUUCUACCUCCAUGGAAAGCUAAAUCUUCCAUUUAUAUUUUUAUAGUCUUUUCAGCACUGUCUUAAUGGUCUUGAGAACAUAUUACCCUGAAAAUGUAAAAAUAGAGCCAAAGAGGUGAAAGCUCCUUGCGUGGCUUCUGACCAGGGAUGGCUGCUUCCAUGGGCUUUAGCUCUGCCAGUUCUCCCUAGACUGGGGCAGGUAGGCAGUGAGGAUUUCAGCAUAUAUUAAGUGCCAAAUAGAAACAAAUAUUUGUUUCUAUUAUUAGAGUAAAACAACAGAAGCCUGUAUUUUGACCAGAGGCCUGGAAUCUACUACUUUGUGAAUUAGCUAAGCAGCCCCAGUUGAACGUGAACCAGCCUGGAACAGAGUGGACUGCAGAGGCAAUAAACAAGGAUGUCGUGAAGACCCUGUUUCUUUCUAGCGUGGCAUCCCAGGAUAAAAUAUACAAUUAAUAGAUACUGGAAGGCACACUUUCUGAUUAUGGAGAAACCAUCAAAUUUGGCCAUGGUUUUGCAUAGGGGCUAGGUUGGAAAUUCAACUAGAACAAUUUAAUGUCUACUGGCAAAGCUUCUUAAUUAUGGAAUGAAAGCUACCUCAAAGUGCCUGGAGGCUUGAGCUGAAUGGUGAGAUCUUCAUUGACCUGACCUCCUCUGUGCUGAAGUUUGCUGACUUGAGGAGACCUCCCCUAAGAACAGACCCUCCCCUCAGGGCUGCCUUCAGCGAUGAUGAUUGACGCUGGCAAGUCAGUCAAGUGGGAAGUUUGCAGCACACACGGCUCAAAGGACUCACCCAGUUUGCCCUGUUGGAGGAUGUUAACCUUUGCACACUAUUUUUGACAUUUAAUUUUUCCUUCCAUUUAGUGCAUGACUCUUUUUUUGUCUUUCUAGUAAAUUCAUUUAGUUAGUAUUAUUCUUUGCCUAUUUUGUCUUUUAAACUUCUGGUUUUUAAUCUUUCGUAUUUUAUAUUAUUUAUUCUUGGUGUUCAUGCUUCUUAUUCUCUUUUCUGCUAUUUUAUCUUAUUGUUGUGAUAAUAGUAUAUUUGCAGUAAGCUCCUUUUACUAACUUCAUUUAUUUCUACAUAAUGUUUUAUCUGGCUUUGACCACAACUAUAUAAGGGGACAGCAAAGUGGAGCCACAAAUGGGAAGAUUGUGAAGAGGGCCCUUGACCAAAUAAAGAGGAAACCUUUUCCCUGAAGAGGACUUUUCAGCAACCCAACUAAUUCACUCAUUUUUCUCAAAGUUGAAUUUUCUUCCACAAAAACCCCUUGACUUUGUUAUUGAGUAGAUCCUCAGGCCUAGGAAAAUAAUGUCUACAUCGACCAAGGAGAUAUCUGAACUACCAGUACUUCCUGCAGCAUCUUUGUUUUGGUUGGCCUGGGCAGGUGGUGGGGCACGGGGGUGAAGGGAGGGGUCUGAGGUGGGUAGAAAACAAGGGUAUCCCCAGGGCUAUGGGAGGAAGGUCUAGUGGACUGGAACCAUUGUAUCUGUCGAUUAGUGGAGGCAAUCAUAUUUGUGAUCCUUGAGCUAAUGGUCUAGUAAGACUAUAAACUUGUUCAUAAUUAAAGCUGGCAAGAGGGUUCUUACCCCAGGUAAUGAGACAAGAGUGAACCACAGGAGGAAGCCAGCACAGAGACCGUAUGUAAUGAGUCCCUUCAUGGGAAAGGGAUGGAAAACAGUCCUCAGGCUAGCAGCAGAGGGAGUGCUGUCUGUUGUGGGUCUUGACCUGCUUAAGAGGUCUGACUUGAGGUGAGGCUGAAAGACAGCCCCGCUGGGGGCUUCAAGAUAACGAUGGACGGAUAGAGUUCUCUCACCGCUGAAUAUCUCCUAAGGCAUUAGUAAAACACUAUUUAAAUAUUUCCUCUGUAACUCAGUUGUGCUAUUAAAGCUCUGUUUCUCAAAGUAGGUCUGUAGAUGUUCUUGAGAGAGUGAGUGUUUCAUGAGAAUUUUCAAAUUUUCUGCUUUCGUUUUGAAGAUAAUCUUAAAGAAAUAAAAUCAAAAUGUUCUACUACAUUAUUUUUAGUGCUGAAGGCUGAGUUUGGUGCCAAAUGAAGAACAAAUAACAUCACGGCAUGCUAUGGAAAUGUCGAUUUUGCAUUAAGUUUGAAUAGAGAAAGAUGUGGGAAAAUUGAUCAAUUUUGUGGCCCAAAGGUAGUACAGACAUCAUUAGUUCAAAAUGUCUUCUGUCAUAGCAGUGGCAUAUCAUGUUGAGAAGUUAUUGUGAGACAUACCAACUUGAACUGUCAUUCAAUAGCAGGAAAGAAUACUGUUAUUUUUAUUCAAUAGUAUUUUUAAUGUUAAUCUUCAGUAUUUUUAUUAUUAUGUACUUAUUGUGGUGCACUAUUAAAUUUAUCAGCCCCUCAAACUAAUGGAUUAGUAGUUAAACAAGCUUAUUUACCAAAAACGAUUAAUCCUACGAUAACUUGAAGAAAGACUUAAGAUAUGCUUCCAGUAUUGUUCAAAGUCAAAAGAAUCAAGAGGACAGAAAGUGAAGCAUAAAACAUACAAAUAGUAGGUGUAUUAAACCCAACGCCAGCAAUUUAGUUCCAGCAAAAUAUCAUUUAUCACACUGAUGUUUUCUAUAUGAACUCUAGUGGCUUUUGUAUGUUUGCUUGUUUUUAAUUUGCAGCUUUGCUUGAGUUUUGAAGUAAUUUAAGAGCUAUAUGUAUGGGAAAUUUAUAUCUGUUCAUUUUGAAGUAACACAAUAAAAAUAAUGUAGAGCAACAGUAGGAUUUUAUGGGAGUUUUUUUUUAUCUUUUAAACAUUAUUCAAGCUUAAAAAAUCUAUGACAGAGAAUUAAUGGGAGGCUUUUAUGUCUACUCUUUCAGUCUCAGGCUAACUGGGCCAUAACACCUCUUCAGGCUGGGGUUGGGGUAAUGGAAGCAAUUAAUGAAAGACAAGGAAAGAAAUCGGGGAUGAGUUAGAUAUUUGUGGACCAGUUCAUCCUCUGAAUGUGGAUAACUACUACUUAGUCACAAUCUUGGUGAAUUUUGUUUUAUUUUGAAAAUCUAAUAUUAGGAUAUCUGAGUUCUAAGAAAACCAGGAGAGACUUGUAAGUGUUGACAAAACUUAAUAGAGUAAAAGUAGAUAUUGGGGUAGGCGCAGAAAACUGGAAAUUUAGGUUCAUAGAACUGAGGUGAAAUGUGUGUGUGACUGGAACAAACCUGUGUGUGUGUGUGUGUGUGUGAGCUUGUGUAUUCAUGGUGAAGUUCUCAAUAAAUUUGCCUACAAUUGUGUGUGGCUGGUGGAUGGGCUGUCUGGAUGAAUGGCAUCACCCAUGCACCAGACUUCUUUCCCUAAAAGUGUUUGUUCUGGGGGCUUUCCUGGUUGUCUCAGGUGUAAGUUCAGAUGUACUCUAGGAUUUUCUUGAGGUAGAAAACAAGAUUCCAUGACUGCUUUUCAGGACUGUUACUUUCCAUUGCAACCAAAUGUUGGAGUGACCAUCGUGCUAGCGGGAGGCCAGCACUCUUUCUACUACCUCUCUCACUGUUUAUUUCAGUUCUUUCUUGAUUGCUGUAAACACAUGUAUGGCAUGGACAGCCAGGUCUUGGUCAGGGUUAAUCUAGGAAGGGUGAAAGGCAAAGUGAAUCCAGAUAGAUAGAUGUCAUUAGAGUGAGAAUGCCAGGGAUUAAUGGCAUUUGUGACUUCAUGGGGCCUCAGAUAGCCACUUUCCAAUUUUAUGAAUGGAUACUACAUUUACAUAGAAAAACAGCAUCUGCUCUCCCCAGUGCUUAGCGGUGAUCAGUGUAAGUCUUGGAAUGCCAGAGGGUGAUCAACUGAUGCUUUUAGCUGCUUGUAGUUCCUCCGUGUACUGGUCAGCUACAGGGUGGGAGUUCUCUGAUAUACAGAAACAUGCCACGGAUGCUGUGGAAUGGACUCCUCCGGAUGCAGUAACAGGGUGAUAGUGCAAGUGCAUUAUCUGUUCAAUGAGCAGCAGCAGUACUACAGGCUUAGGACCCGUUCAAUACAUUCUCCCUGACUCUAUCAGCGAGUGAUGGGUGGAACAAAGGUGAACUGGAAAAUGGAGAGGCUUUGAGUAAUACCUUCCAAAAUAAGAAUACAAAUUGAGAUCUGAGGUUUUCCUACUCUACGUUCUUACGAUAACCCAUAGUUUUCUUUUGUUACCUAUAAUAGUUUAUAAUGACAUAUUUAUGCAUUUAUUUGGUUAAUGUCUAUCAUAUAUCCUAUAUUUUAAGCUAUAUAAGGCCAGGAAUUGUAGGUACUUUUAUUUACCAGGGAUCCCAGUGGCUAAUACAGUGCCUGAAUGUGUGGGUUUUUUACAAAUUCUUUAAGAGUGACCCACUACUAUUUCUGAUUAUAAGUAUUAGUCAUCUUGUUGCUGCAUAACAGAUUACCCCAAAAUUUAGCAGCUUAAAACAACAUAUAUUUAUUAUCUUACAGUUUCUGUGGGUCAGGAAUUUGGGAGUGACUUAGCUAAGUGGUUCUGAUAUUAGUUAGGCUGCAGCCAUUGAAGGCUUGACUGGGGUUGGAGGAUACACUUCUUAGAAGGCUCAUUCACAUGAAUGCUAGUAGAAAGUUUCAGUUCCUUUGCUGCUUAUUGGUGGGAGGCCUCAAUUUUUAACCACAUGCAUGACUUCAUAGGGCUGCUUGAGUGUCCUUAUGACAUGACAGGUAGCUUUUUCUGGAGUAAGUAGUAUGGGGAUGCAAGGAGAGAGGGAGAGACAGGAGGAAGAAGCAAUACUUCUAUUAAAAAUAGGCUUUUUCAUACCGUAAAACUUACCCCCACCCUUUUUUUUUUUUUUUUUUGGACAUAGGGUCUCAUUCUGUUGUCCAGGCUGGACUGCAGUGGUAUGAUAAUGACUCACUGCAGCUCUGACCUCCCGGGCUCAAUUGAUCCUCUUACCUCAGCUUCCCAAGUAGCUGGGACUACAGGCAUGUGCCACCACACCAGCUAAUUUAAAAAAAAUUUUUUUUUUAGAGAUGAGGUUUUGCCAUCUUUCCCAGGCUGCUCUUGAACUCCUGGGCUCAAGCGAUCUACCCGCAUUGGCCUCCCAAAGUGUUGGGAUUACAGGCUUGAGCCACUGUGCUGGCAAAUUUACCCUUUUAAAUUGUACAAUUCUCCCUGGUCAUCUAGUGUUUAUGAAAAAUCACCAAAAUAAAUGAAGUGUACAAUUCAGUGGUUUUAAUACAUUCACAAGGUUGUGCAACCAUCACCACUAUCUAAUUCUAGCAUAUUUCCAUUACUCCAAAAAGAAAUUCCAUUAUUUGUCGGCAGUCACUUCCUAUUUCUCCCUCUCCCCAGGCCCUGGCAACCACUAAUCUUUCUGUCUCAAUGGGUUUGUCUAAUCUAGACACUUCAUAUAAAUGGAAUCAUACCAUAUGUAGCCUUUUUUGUCUCACUUCUUUCACUUAGUAUACAUGCCACAUGGCAGCAUGUAUCAGCAUUUCAUUCUUUUUUAUGGGCAAAUAAUAUUGUACUGUAUGAAUAGACCACAUUUUGUUUAUCCAUUCAUUAGUCAAUGGAUAUUUUGGUUGUCUUGGCUUUUUGGAUACCAUGAACUUUGCUACUAUGAACAUUUGUGUACAGGUUUUUAUGUGGACAUAUAUUUUCAAUUCUUUUGGAUAUGUACCUAUGCGUAGAAUUUCUGGGUCAUAUGGUAAUUAUAUGUAUAAAUUUUUUUGAGGAACUGCCAAACUGUUUUCCAAAGUGGCUGCAUCAUUUACAUUCUGACCAGCAGUAUAUGAAGUUUCCAGUUUCUCCACAACUUGCCCACAUUUGUUUUGCUGUUUUGAUAUUUGCCAUCCUAGUGGGAAGUGGUAUUUCAUUGUGAUUUUGUUUUGUAUUUCUAUUUUCCUAACAAAUAUUGAUGUGCAACUUUUCAUAUGAUUAUUUGCCAUUUGCAUAUCUUCUUUGGAGAAAUGUAUAUUCAAAUUCUUUGCUCAUUAUUAAAUUGGGUCAUUUGUCUUUCUAUUAUUGAGUUGUAAAAGUUCUUUAUAUAUUCUAGGUACAGUUCUGGCUAUCAGGUGUAUGAUUUGCAAAUACUUUGUCUUUCCACUUUCUUGAUAGUGUGUCCUUUGACACAAUUAAUUUAAAUAUUUUGAUGAAGUUUGGCUGAGUGUGGUGUCUCACACCUGUAAUCCCAGCACUUUGGGAGGCCAAGGUAGAAGGAUUGUUUGAGGCCAGGAGUUAAAGACCAGCUUGUGCAACAUAAUGAGACCUUAUCUCUAUUAACAAAAUUUUUUUUUAUGAAGUUCAACUUAUCUGUUUUUUUUUCUUUUGUUGCUCAUGUUUUUGAUCUCAUAUCUAAAAAUUCUUUGCCAAUCCAAAGUCAUGAAGAUUUAACUCCGUGUUUUCUUCUGAGUUUUAUAAUUGUUGCCCUUAUUUGUAGGUUUUUGAUCCAUUUUGAGUUAAUUUUUAUGUAUGGUGUGAGAUAGUGAAUUCAACCUUAUUCUUUCGCAUGUGGCUAUUAAGUUGCCCUAGCACAAUUUGUUGAAAGGACUCUUCUUUUCCCAUUGAAUUGUUUUGGUGCCCUUGUUGAAAGUCAACUGACCAUAAGUGUAUUUCAAUUUUUGGAUGUGAUUAUAAGUGGAAUUAUUUUAUUAAUGUGAUUUUUGGCUCGUUCAUUGCCAUUGUAUAGAAAUAAAAUUGAUUUUUGCAUAUUGAUUUUUGUUAUAGUUCAGAUAUUUGCCCUACCCAAAUCUCAUGUUGAAAUGUAAUCCCCCUGGGGGGUGGGGACAAGAUGGCCAACUAGAAACAGCAGUGUUCGAGGCUCCCAUUGAAAAAAACCAUAAUAAGCAUGUGAAUGUUUCCCUGGCAACCAAGGUAUCCAGGUUCUCUCAUCAAAAUUGACUAGAAGGCUGGCAUGACCCACAGAGAGAGGGAAGAACAGUGCAGUGUGGUGGCCCACCUGAGAACCACAUGGGGUAGGGGUGGCGGUGAGUGAGAGUGCUACACAGCCGGGGAAACUGCUUUUUCCAUGGAACUGUGCAACCUAUGGAUCGGAAGAUCCCACUCGUGAACCCAUGCCACUGGGGCCUAGUGUUCCAACCCCAGAACGUGCAGAUUCUUACAGCCUCUCAGCUGGAAUCAGCUUAAGCCUACCAAACUCCCAGGAGGAGGGGUGACCAGCACCAUGGCUGUGGCUGCCUGCUGUCUAAACUGUUUGAGCACCUUGGGGGAGGGGCAGCAGCCAGCAUUGGGACUGGCAACUACCUAAUAUGGUAAGCUUCCUGGGUGGGGGAAGGGUGGAACCCAUUUCUAUAGCUCCAGUCUGCGCCUUUCCCCUGCUGGAGCCAGGGAGGCUGGAUGGCUUGAUCCCAAGACUUGUCCCCACAGCCCAACACACUGGAUGUGGUAGUUUGCAGCCAGAGUAUGUCUUCAGGCCUGACCCUGCCUGACCCAUCCUUCCCCAUUAGGUGGGGGUUUCCUGCAGGAAUGCCAAUAACUCCAGCCAGAGGCUCAGGGACAGAAUCCGAAUCUCCCUGGGCCUGAACCCCUAGGGGAAGGGGUGGCUGCAGUCUCUGUGGACCCGCAGACUUAUCCUCUCCUCCUGGUAGUUCUGAGGAAUCCGGGCAGCCUAGAUGAGUGGGUUUCCCGCGAGUGAAGCACACUCCCUCCACCAAUGGACAAAGUGCCUCUUUAAAUGGGUUCUGUUUCCCGUGCCACCCAACUGGGGGAGCCCCUCCAACAGGGGUUGUCAGACACCCUAUACAGGAGCGAUCCUACUGGCAUCAGGUUGGUGCCCCUCGAGGUCAGAGGUCUCAGAAGAAGGAGGAGGCACCCAUCUUUGCUGUUCUCCAGCCUCCUUAAAUGACAUCUCCAAACACGGGAGUGAAUUAGAUGAAUAGGGCCUGAAGUGAACCCUCGGCAAACUGCAGCAGCCCUACAGAAGAGAGACCUGACUAUUGAAAGAAAAACAAACAAGCAGAAAGCAACAACAAGAUCAUCAACAACAGCAACAAAAAGCCCCCACAAAAACCCCAUCCAAGGGUCAGUGGGCUCAAAGACUGAAACUAGACAAAUUCACGAAGAUGAGAAAGAAUCAACAAAAAUGCUGAAAACCCAAAAAGCCAGAGUGUCUCUUCUCCUCCAAAUGAUCGCAAUGUCUCUCCAUCAAGGGUGCAGAACUGGACGGAGCAUCAGAUGGAUGACUUGACAGAAGUAGGCUUCAGAAGAUGGGUAAUAAAAAACUACACUGAGCUCAAGGGGCAUGUUCUAACUCAAUGUAAAGAAGCUAAGAGCCUUGCUGAAAGGUCAGAGGAAUUGCUAACUAGAAUAACC
rnacentral:lncRNA from 1 species